rnacentral:rRNA from 1 species
AUUCCUACGGGGGGCUGCAGUGGGGAAUAUUGCGCAAUGGGCGAAAGCCUGACGCAGCGACGCCGCGUGGGGGAUGAAGGCCUUCGGGUUGUAAACCUCUUUCAGCAGGGACGAAGCGAGAGUGACGGUACCUGCAGAAGAAGCGCCGGCUAACUACGUGCCAGCAGCCGCGGUAACACGUAGGGCGCAAGCGUUGUCCGGAAUUAUUGGGCGUAAAGAGCUCGUAGGCGGUCUGUUGCGUCCGCUGUGAAAACUCGGGGCUUAACCCCGGGCCUGCAGUGGAUACGGGCAGACUAGAGGUAGGUAGGGGAGAAUGGAAUUCCCGGUGUAGCGGUGAAAUGCGCAGAUAUCGGGAGGAACACCGGUGGCGAAGGCGGUUCUCUGGGCCUUACCUGACGCUGAGGAGCGAAAGCGUGGGGAGCGAACAGGAUUAGAUACCCUUGUAGUC